rnacentral:rRNA from 1 species
GACGAACGCUGGCGGCGUGCUUAACACAUGCAAGUCGAACGAAGUGGCGAACGGGUGAGUAACGCGUAAUCAACCUGCCCUUCAGAGGGGGACAACAGUUGGAAACGACUGCUAAUACCGCAUACUGAAGGAGGGGAUUGCGUCUGACUAGCUAGUUGGAGGGGUAACGGCCCACCAAGGCGAUGGCCAGUAGCCGGGCUUGAAAGAAGAACCGCCCCCUUGGGACUGAGAAACGGGCCAGAAUCCUACGGGGGGGAAGAGUGGGGAAACUUCCGCAAUGGACGAAAAUCUGGCGGAGGAACCCCGCGGUAGUGAUGACGGCCUUCGGGUUGGAAAACUCUGUUUAUCGGGGCGCGGGACCGGAAUAGAAAGCCACGGCUAACUACGUGCCAGCAGCCGCGGUAAUAC